UACAGAGGGUGCGAGCGUUGUCCGGAAUCACUGGGCGUAAAGGGCGCGUAGGCGGUGACUUAAGCGUGUGGUGAAAGCUCGGGGCUCAACCCCGAGUCGGCCGUGCGAACUGGGUCACUGGAGCAUGUCAGAGGCAGGCGGAAUUCCGGGGUGUAGCGGUGGAAUGGCGUAGAUAUCGGGAGGAAUACCUAUGGCGAAAGCAGUCUCUGGACCAUCACUGACGCUGAUCUGCGAAAGCUAGGGGAGCGAACGGG
rnacentral:rRNA from 1 species